rnacentral:piRNA from 1 species
UGUUUGGUGUCUGGUCAGUGCAAACC